UUACGUUGGUAUCUUCUUCCAUUGGCCUACUGCAAAAGACAGAAACCAAAAACAGAGUGUUAGAAAGCAAUAUCAAAUAGAAGACGAAGCUAAGCGAAGCCAAGAACCCUUACCUCAUGUUGGCUUGAAGCAAACUCUGCUCGUCCGAAGAAAAGGGGGUUUUACCUCUAGCUAAAUCGCGCCUUUGGUUUUCCAAAUAUCUCACCGGAAGAAGAAGAGAAGAAUGAGGAGAAA